rnacentral:sRNA from 1 species
UCUCACAUGUGUUCCUGAAGCUUUUCUUCUUGUCUUAGCACUCGGAGCGUGCCUUCCGACGCGCGGAGCCAUGGCAGCCCUGCUGCUGCUGCUGUUGCUGCCAGUCGGCCCAGCCCCUCUGGUGGCGACACUGUGCUGCCCAAAUCCAUCAGCAGUGCCCAUGAUACCAGGGGUUCCAGCGUCCCUGAAAAUGAUCGGUUGGCUUCCAUAGCUGCUGAAUUGCAGUUUAGGUCCCUGAGUCGUCACUCAAGCCCCACGGAGGAGCGAGACGAACCAGCAUAUCCAAGAGGAGAUUCAAGUGGGUCCACAAGAAGAAGUUGGGAACUUCGGACACUAAUCAGCCAGAGUAAAGAUAGUGCUUCUAAACUAGGACCCAUAGAAGCUAUCCAGAAGUCAGUCCGAUUGUUUGAAGAAAAGAGGUACCGAGAAAUGAGGAGAAAGAAUAUCAUUGGUCAAGUUUGUGAUACGCCUAAGUCGUAUGAUAAUGUUAUGCAUGUUGGCUUGAGGAAGGUGACCUUCAAGUGGCAAAGAGGAAACAAAAUUGGAGAAGGCCAGUAUGGGAAGGUGUACACCUGCAUCAGCGUCGACACCGGGGAGCUGAUGGCCAUGAAGGAGAUUCGAUUUCAA